rnacentral:rRNA from 1 species
CCCUUAGAUGUCCUGGGCCGCACGCGCGCUACACUGAUGCAUUCAACGAGCCUAUCCUUGACCGACAGGUCCGGGUAAUCUUUGAAUCUGCAUCGUGACGGGGAUAGAUUAUUGCAAUUAUUAAUCUUCAACGAGGAAUGCCUAGUAGGCGCAAGUCAUCAGCUUGCGUCGAUUACGUCCCUGCCCUUUGUACACACCGCCCGUCGCUCCUACCGAUUGGGUGUGCUGGUGAAAUGUUCGGAUCGGCCGUUUGUCGCGGUUUCCGCGGCUCGUGGCUGAGAAGUUCAUUAACCCCUCCCACCUAGAGGAAGGAGAAGUCGUAACA